UAUUGGUUCGCGUUAGGGAUAAUAGUGAAAAGCCCGCAGGAAAGUAAAGUGCAACGGAACUUUGCGAGGACUUGUAGCGGAUAGCCCGACCCUUU
rnacentral:sRNA from 1 species